CAAUACAUCAUCAGUAACCAAUGACCCAACUAUCACAAGCUUACUAAUUGGACAAGGACAAUUAAAAUAAGUCAAGUGUUACAUCAAUUACAAAGAGUUGCACUGUACAAAUACAUAUAUGCCAGCAGUAAUGCAGAUUCAAGAGAAGAAUCCAAUUUACAGCCAAAAAAUUACACAAAAGUAUGAGCAACAUAAUAACGUGUAAACCCAUUUGUUAUACAGCUCGGCUUGAGCAAAAGCAGCUCGACAAAUUUCAAGCAC
rnacentral:lncRNA from 1 species